GAGAAGUGACCUUGGUCUGCCUUCUGGGCAGUACUGAGUUUCAAACGGCGGUGGUAACACAUCGUCGUGUCACGACUCUUUCUUCUGGGGAACCAAGGUUUCCUUUACUGGACGCCUUGUGGAACCAGGACGAUUACCUUGAGGAAAAUAAAGUGUUCAAAGCAGGCUUGUGCUUGAAUACGUUAGCAUGGAAUAAUAAAAUAGGACGUUGGUUCUAUUUUGUUGGUUUUAAGGACCAAUGUC
rnacentral:rRNA from 1 species